rnacentral:rRNA from 1 species
UUAUACCGUAGCUUGCUACACCAUAGACUGUGAGUUGCGAACGGGUGAGUAACGCGUAGGUAACCUACCUAUUAGAGGGGGAUAACUAUUGGAAACGAUAGCUAAUACCGCAUAACAGUAUGUAACACAUGUUAGAUGCUUGAAAGAUGCAAUUGCAUCGCUAGUAGAUGGACCUGCGUUGUAUUAGCUAGUAGGUAGGGUAAUGGCCUACCUAGGCAACGAUACAUAGCCGACCUGAGAGGGUGAUCGGCCACACUGGGACUGAGACACGGCCCAGACUCCUACGGGAGGCAGCAGUAGGGAAUCUUCGGCAAUGGGGGGAACCCUGACCGAGCAACGCCGCGUGAGUGAAGAAGGUUUUCGGAUCGUAAAGCUCUGUUGUUAAGGAAGAACGAGUGUGAGAAUGGAAAGUUCAUGCUGUGACGGUACUUAACCAGAAAGGGACGGCUAACUACGUGCCAGCAGCCGCGGUAAUACGUAGGUCCCGAGCGUUGUCCGGAUUUAUUGGGCGUAAAGCGAGCGCAGGCGGUUAGGAAAGUCUGAAGUGAAAGGCAGUGGCUCAACCAUUGUAGGCUUUGGAAACUGUUUAACUUGAGUGCAGAAGGGGAGAGUGGAAUUCCAUGUGUAGCGGUGAAAUGCGUAGAUAUAUGGAGGAACACCGGUGGCGAAAGCGGCUCUCUGGUCUGUAACUGACGCUGAGGCUCGAAAGCGUGGGGAGCGAACAGGAUUAGAUACCCUGGUAGUCCACGCCGUAAACGAUGAGUGCUAGGUGUUAGGUCCUUUCCGGGACUUAGUGCCGCAGCUAACGCAUUAAGCACUCC